CCGAUCCGAAUCCGAGGGUCAGCACCCGAUCAACGAAACAAUACGCGUUGGAUUAGAUCCAAACCGCUGGCGUACGGAUCGACGACCCAGAUUAAUCCUAGUCGAAGGGGUACACGCCGUUCCAAUCUGGGUCAUCCACUAUUCAUCCAACGGUCCACCCAGUUCUUCCUCCCCACGCCGGCCGAAGGCGGCCACGGUAAUACGCUCGUGGCAGAGAAAGCCAGCGAGCACCCCCCCUGGUACGACGCCAAGUGCCCGAUUCACGAAAUUGGUUGAUGUAAUACGAGGCUGGGGACAUGGCGAACACGACAGUGCAGAAUUUACCGACUAUUGUGAAGUAGCGAGGUCCAAUUUCUAUGCCCAGCGGCAAUGGCGGCCAUGCCGCGAGCUCCACCCCCGGGUGAACACCGAUUCCACCGCACCGGCCAUGAGGAGACGUGCCGACAUUGUUCGGAGGGUCCAGGUGGUCGUGGGGUUGGGCAGAGAGGCAGGGCGCGACGGAGUGUUGAAGGGAGGUCCAGCGCUUAAGGUGCAGCGCGCUACGGAGACCGAGCUGGGGGUAUUGUGUGGAGGAGCCGCUCGGCAGGCGCUAUUUAUGGGCACGGGGAGAAGAAGGAUGAACAGGGAGGCUCCCGGCACACGCGGCGUCAUCCGUUCACAACCACACGGCGAGAUCCGCUCGAGCCCGCCGUUUGCGCGCUGUCUGUUGCGCGACCCGCGGAAUCCGCGCAGCCGGUCUGGUGUCCGGAGGUUGAAGGGAGCACCAACGCGACGGACCCACACGUCCGCACAACAGGGACCGAGUUGGAGGAGUGGCGCGACUGAGCCCAUGGUGUCACGUGGCCAAGGAUCACGGAGUGCGGUGCGCCCAGAGGAGAAGUCACAACGGGAGGAAGAAGACACUCCUAACAGAUGGGGCCCACAUGUAAGUGUGUCGCGUGUGAGAGGCUGGGCUGAGCGGCGUGGGGAAAGAAGAUGGGCCGCGCAGCUAGGGUUUUGGCCCAGUUCCUGUUUCAGCUUUUCCUGUUCUUUUCUUUUAUAUUUUUCUUUCCCCCUUUUAUAAUCUCUUUGAUUCAAAUUUUGAAUUCAAAUGUGAACUUGCACUCAAAUUAAAAUUACAAAAUAAACACUAGUAUGGGUAGAUUUAUAUUUAUUUACUUUAUAUUAUUUUCACUCACAUUAACAUUUUCUUUCCUUUUCUAGGGUUUCUUUUAGAUUGUCAAAUUCUACUUUGGACUUUAUUCCAAUUCUUGUAACAUCAUUUUUAUUUAUCAUAAAAUGCACACAAAAAUUAAAAUUCAGCAUGAUGCACAAUUUAUUAGUAUAUCUUUUUAUUAAUCAUUUGUUCUUGAAUAUGGUGUUCACACGAAAUGAGAAACAUAGAUAACACAUAUAGAUAUAAAGUAAUAUAAUUUCUCUUUCUAGACUUUUCUUACAAAGUGGGUGUUACAAAUCCUACCCCCCUUAAAAAUAAUCUCGUCCUCGAGAUUUGUAAGGACAGGGAUGUAAAAAGCUUUAUUUAUAGUUUAACCUUUAACUUCUAAUUAAUAAUAGGUUUCAUGUUAUUUAGAAAGUGGUUAUGAAAGCAUGGGUAUAUAUAUGUAUAGUCACCAAAUGUGUAAGAAAAAAAAAUGUCUUUAAAGCAUGGAUAGGCUUGGGUAGGACAUAGUAGGGUAAGGAAGGACUCCAUCAUGCAUAGCGAAUCUUGAUUCCUUUGGCGGUCCAACUUGAUCUUUGAAGACUUGAGGUGAUGCUUAUCCUUCUUUGACAUGGUUGGUCUUCUUUGGCCUUUAAUCUUGGAGUUGCCAUCCGAGUUAAGGACAUAUGGUUAGGAUAGCCGGGGUACACGAGGUGGGUAGGUUCGGACAGAGUUUUACUUUGCUUUUUUUUGAACAAAGGGAUUAGGCAACCUAUGAUGUAGGUUAGGUUGUUGUUUACGGACGAGUUAGUCCAAUGUAUUAAUUUAGGGUAAGAUAUGUUUAUAGAAUUAGGGCCUAAUAAUUUUUUUUUCGUCAACAUUAUCUAACUUAUUUAAGUAACUCGAAUUGGAUUAGAUCAUGUUAGACUAGGUUGGAUCUAGAUCAAAUUGAAAUAAGAUAAAAUCUUUUCAAGAUAAGAUGAAUCUAUUAAGAUAAGAAAGAAUCUUGUAAGAUAAGACAAAUUUAUUAAAAUAUAUUCUAGUGGGGGAUAUUCUUAGUUGAUAUAUAGAUCCAUUUUUAAUAAGGAAUAUUCUAUGUUGUCUAUUUUAUAAAUAUUUUCCCUUAUAUCUAGGUGUAUAUGUAGAUGCAAUUGUGGACAUUACUCCACAACUCAUCACACUCAAUCAAAGAUCCAAAUCAGACAAGUAUCAUAAGAACAAACAUUCAAGUUCAUAGAUAUAAAAAAAUAGUUUUGUUUUUGUUCCUAAGAGAAGGUCUAUUCCUAAAGAUCACUUUAGGCACAGGAUUUCAAAGUGUGAAAUCCACAUUUAUCUUUAGAAGGAAAAGGUAAGAAUAAUCAGAGUAAAGCGGAAAUAGAUGAGAGAAGAUUAAGAUAAGUUUAGAAAAGAUCAGAGUAGCAAAGAUAAGUAGACAAUGGUUGUCCAGUUCUAUCUAGGUUUCGUCCUACAGUCAACAUUCCUCUGAUACCACUUCUGUCACACCCGGAUUUUAGGAGUCCAAAACCCGGGCGCGAACAUAAUCACCAGGUGUGCUGGGACCAAGUCUCACACAUAUGAUGAAUCAUGGCACAGGAUCGAAUGUCACAUCUUUACUAUAUAAUAGGAGUUCUGUACAAAAUAAAUAAUUACAUUAUAAGGAGACAACGGUCCAGCAACCCAAAGUUGACUGGGAGACGACGGCCUAGACCUCUCACGAACACAUCGCAGCAUCCUCCAUGCGCCUCAUCUUGUGGUACCUGUUCUUGACCUGUGGGGGGGUGUGAGACAGCAAGAGUGAGCUCACAUACGUUCAUCGCUCAACAAGUUGUGGGGAAUAAUGUGUAUGAACUCGCCAAAGGUGGGAGCUCAUGUGAAGUGUAGGGCUUACCAAAGAGGAUGGCUGAAGCUGAGCAUUGCUUUUAAAGUUGGUCAAAAUUUUAUUAGCCAUUACUAAGUAUAAGUAAAUACCAACCCAAUUAAAUAGUAGAACAGAAGUAACAACAUCACCUGCGAUGCAAUGCAUAUGACAAAUUGAAUUUAAGUUCCAUAGAUUAAUCAUGUGAGGGUCCGAGCUGCUCAUGACCGUGAGCACGGCUAGUAUACCAGUUUUACACUCUGCAGAGGUGGCGCAUCUUUACCCACAAGUCAUGUUACCCAUCUGCCAAGGGAUCGCGACUUCCCGUACACCUCUACCGAGGAGGCGAGGCAGGGUAACACUACGAGGCCUUUACAAAGUUUCACUAGCUUCAGAAAACCCGCUACAGUUUAUAGGAAGCUCCAAUGCAGGAAUUCCCUUGCAGGACCGCCAUCGCAGCAAAAUCCUCCCGAGGGUCUCCCUACACUGACCACUCCCCUACUGCCCUUGCCCCUUUCGGGUAAGGUAGUCCUCCACUAGCUUUCCUAAUUAAUCAGCCAAGGGCGUCCCAUUAUACCCUUGUGGUAGCACUAUUUUCCCGGGUGGUCGCUCCAUGUUCCAAUUAACAUAAUGAUCUUAUCAUGAACGAUAAAUAACAACGGAUAACAAAAGUAUAAUCAUGAGUAAUGUAUCUUCAUACCCAAAACCACAUAAAGCACUAGCAAGUACUACCCAAAAAGUUCAGUGGUAACAAGGUAUAAAGAUAAUCAAACUAGGGUAACCUAUUGGGUCCCAUCAAAAUUAACCUAUGCAGAUCAUUAUGAUUAAUUAGAACAUGGCUGGGUAAAAAGAAGUGAUCAAGGGCACAACUUGCCUGGCACUUGAGAUUCCAGGUACCAGGAUGAUCUUCAGGUGACUCGAAACCUCGCUGCUAGUCGUAGCAAUACAAACAGACAUGGUAUAGACAAAAUUAACAUUACAUCAAACAUAAGAGAAACUGCAUAAUAAUAAUCUACGCGUUUCUACGAGACUAACGGAACUUGAACGGAUCAAAUCGGAGUUAAAAUGGAGGAGUUAUGACUUUUCUAAGGUUUUAUGUAUUUGAUAUAAGAUUAAUUAGGAAAUAAAUUUUUAUUACUGUUUUCAUGUAAAAACAGAGGCAAUAGGUGCUAAACAACAUUAUUACAAAAUUGUAGAAAUUGAAAUGGUCUCAUUUGGACUUAAUAUGAAUUUUCUAGGGGUUAAACAAAUUCUAGCAUUUAUUUUCACAUUAAAAAUCAUUUCCUAAUCACUUUUACUGAAUUUUAUAUUUUUCUGGGCUGGGCACAAGAUAACCAGAGAAGACAGGGACCACGGCGCAAAUAAACCCUAGACUCAGGACACUAUUCCCUAGACGGCGGGUUGAUUUCAGCAAAGGCCAGGGGUUCAUUUGGAAGACGGCCAGGCCGAAGGGGUAUGCUUCAAUCUCAGCCGCCCGAUCUGAUCCAACCAUCUAGAUUAGAUCGCGGCCGCCUGAGCACUCAGACCACCCGAUCCGAAUCCGAGGGUCAGCACCCGAUCAACGAAACAAUACGCGUUGGAUUAGAUCCAAACCGCUGGCGUACGGAUCGACGACCCAGAUUAAUCCUAGUCGAAGGGGUACACGCCGUUCCAAUCUGGGUCAUCCACUAUUCAUCCAACGGUCCACCCAGUUCUUCCUCCCCACGCCGGCCGAAGGCGGCCACGGUAAUACGCUCGUGGCAGAGAAAGCCAGCGAGCACCCCCCCUGGUACGACGCCAAGUGCCCGAUUCACGAAAUUGGUUGAUGUAAUACGAGGCUGGGGACAUGGCGAACACGACAGUGCAGGAUUUACCGACUAUUGUGAAGUAGCGAGGUCCAAUUUCUAUGCCCAGCGGCAAUGGCGGCCAUACCGCGAGCUCCACCCCCGGGUGAACACCGAUUCUGCCGCACCGGCCAUGAGGAGACGUGCCGACAUUGUUCGGAGGGUCCAGGUGGUCGUGGGGUUGGGCAGAGAGGCAGGGCGCGACGGAGUGUUGAAGGGAGGUCCAGCGCUUAAGGUGCAGCGCGCUAUGGAGACCGAGCUGGGGG
rnacentral:lncRNA from 1 species